rnacentral:rRNA from 1 species
AGUGAACGCUGGCGGUAGGCCUAACACAUGCAAGUCGAACGGCAGCACAAUAAGAUCUUGCUCUUACGGGUGGCGAGUGGCGGACGGGUGAGGAAUACAUCGGAAUCUACUUUUUCGUGGGGGAUAACGUAGGGACACUUCCGCUAAUACCGCAUACGACCUACGGGUGAAAGCAGGGGAUCUUCGGACCUUGCGCGAUUGAAUGAGCCGAUGUCGGAUUAGCUAGUUGGCGGGGUAAAGGCCCACCAAGGCGACGAUCCGUAGCUGGUCUGAGAGGAUGAUCAGCCACACUGGAACUGAGACACGGUCCAGACUCCUACGGGAGGCAGCAGUGGGGAAUAUUGGACAAUGGGCGCAAGCCUGAUGCAGCAAUACCGCGUGAGUGAAGAAGGCCUUCGGGUUGUAAAGCCCUUUUGUUGGGAAAGAAAAGCAGCAGGUUAAUACCCCGCUGUUCUGACGGUACCCAAAGAAUAAGCACCGGCUAACUUCGUG